CUUUAUGUUGUUUGUCUUGUUUCCCAUUUGUGUCUUUCGUUGUUCGAAAAAAUAGUUCAUGCUCCAUGUACUCGUACUUCGUAUUGUUUUGUUGUACACGUUUCGUGACAUCCUGUGUCCACGUAGGCAUAUAUAUAUAUAUACGUAUAUGACCGGCCCACCGAAGCUUUGUGUGGUGGUAUUCUACGAUGACGUCCUUCACUCCAGUUGUAUCCCUGGUCUCCUAGUUCCGGAUGUGAUCUCUUAGCAAUAUUACCAACAUCAACCUUUUCGUGGCUCUCUGCUCCCUGAGCAGAUGGUAUUCUUCUCUCUGUGAGUCAUGCAUAUAGCAUUUUAGGCAAGACUGUGCUGUUGAAGAGAUUGGGUGUUCAUUCGUGAGACGUGACAGCGAAGAAGAGCACACAUUCACUCUCUGCGGGAGAUUAGACUCGAAAUUUUUAUGAGGAACCCAUUGACUCAAUUUGCUGACUUUUCUGAUGGCACACAGGUGUCGACGAAUGGUUGAAUGACCAAAUCUAAGCUUCUCUACUAGUUCUUCAACAGUUACGAUGGGAUUUUGUUCCUCCAUGUUUUGCAGGACGUCCUCGUCAACCUCUGCAGAUCUUCCAGGACGAUGUUCGUUUUCUAGGCUGUAGUUUCCGGCUCGGAAUUUCUGGAACCACCGUUGACACUGGCUUACGCUUAUCGUCCAAUCCCCAUAUACUGCUUUAAUAUUCUUCGCACUUUUUGUUGCGUUGUUGCCUUUAUUGAACUCAUAAAGCAAAAUAUGCAGAAUAUGCUCGUUUGUGACUUCCAUUAUAGCUUUGAAAAAAAAUAACUGUUAAAUCGAACUGCACUCUUCAAAACUUGUACUAAGAAUAAGGGAAAAUUACUACCUGCUUUUAUAGCAAAUUGAUGCGGGUAGUUUAUCCCGUCCCUCUCCGACUUUCAAUACAUACAGUUGAAAAAACUACAUUAUGUAUGAGAUGACCCAACAUAUAUGUAUAUGUGUAUGUAUAUAUAUAUGUGUGUGUGUGUGUGUGUGUGUGUGUGUGUGUGUGUGUGUGUGUGUGUGUAGAACCAAAUAUUUCUCUACACCCAUAAACACUAUUUCUUCAGUACAACAAUGCACCAAUGUUUACUGGAAAUAUAUAUAUAUACACACGUUUUAAUGUAAGUGUAUAUUCGUAAAUAAAUGCUAAUAUAAGUAUGUGUAUAUAUACAUAUACACUAUAUACGUACAUGUAUGUAUACAUAUACACGCAUACAUAUAAAAGUGUUAUUUUAUGUUACAUAACUUAGCGGUUCGACAAAAGAGACAUCGACAAAGUACUGAGAGUUCAUAUGACCAACUAAAUCCAUCGGUAACAGCACUCCAGUAUGGCCGUACUCUGAUGUCUAAAACCAGUAAACAAAUAUAAGAGAAGACACUUUACUUCUUCCCUCUGUCUUUCCCUCUCUUUGUCUCUAUUUCUCCCUUUCUCUAUCUCUCUCUCUCUCUCUCUCUCUCUCUCUGUCUUUCCAUCUCUUUCAUUCUCUCCCUUUCACUCUCCCUUCCCUCUCGCUGUUUCUCUCUCUUUUCUCUCUCCCUGCCCCUUUCUUUUUCUUUCCUUGUUCCCUCUCCCUCUUCCCAUCUCUCUCUCUCGCUUUUCCCCUCUGUCUCUCUUUCUCUUUCUCUCUUUCUAGUUCUCUCUCUUCCUCUUUGUUCUUCCCUCUGUCUCUACGUCUCUCUCUCUUUCUCUCCCCUGCCUCUCUCUUUUUUCUCCUUGUUCCUUCUUUCUCUUCCUGUCUGUCUCUCCUUCUCUCUCUUUUUCUCUUUCUCUCUCUACCUUUUUAUCUCUCUCUCUUUCUUUCUCUUUCACACUCUCGCUCUCUCUCUCUCUCUCUCUCUCUCUGUCUUCCUCUCUCCCUUUCUCUCUUUUCAUCUCUUUCUCACUUUCUUUCCUUCUCUUGCUCUUUCCGUCUCUCGCUCUUCUCUCUCUCUCUCUUUCUCUCUUCAUCUCUCCCUUCCUCUCUCCCUUCAUCUCUCUCUCUCUCUGUCUGUCUGUCUUCAUCUCUCCCUUUCUCUCUCUCUCUCUUUCUCUCUUUCUACUUUUUCAUCUCUUUCUCACUUUCUUUCCUUCUCUUGCUCUUUCCGUCUCUCGCUCUUUUCUCUCUCUCUCUAUCUCUCUCUCCCUCUCUCCCUCUCUCCUCCGCCAUAUUCAUAUUAACAAUAGGUCCUUGCAUGAACCAUUACAGGUCAUUACACGAAACCUUUACCACUGCCGAAAACCGAAAUAUAUCAAAGUGAUAUUCUCACACAACCCCCAUCAUGCCUCACACCUUACGUCACCAGAUUAUACAGCAAUACAGCCGACAUUUUAUUCCAUUUAGCGACUCAACUACUCAUUUGCAUUAAACGCUACCAAACUGUCUCAGUGACACAAUAUGGUGGCGAGCGAGAUAAAUAAAAGCAGACGACAUAUUUAUGGCGUUAUAACUAAGUCUCUGUUUUAUCUUUUAUAGAGCCAGAGUGUCCAUUUUGUUUUAAAACAUCUGGACGGCAAUAACGAGGGAGGACUCCAUUAAAAUGGAGGCCAAAGACGGAGGGAAAACGAGUUGGAAGAAAAAGAGGGAUUAACCGCUAUUGUCACCCUUGUACUCGUUGUAGUUGUUGUUGUUGCUGCUGAUGUUGCUGCUGUUGUUGCUGCUGCUGCUGCUGCUGCUGUUGUUGUUGUGAUCUCUUCUAUUAUUUCAGCUGUUGUUGUUGUUGUUGUUAUUGUUGCUGUUACUGUUAACUGGUGGUGUAGUCUUUAUUCUUUAUGCUUCCAUUGUUUGUUAUUGUCAUUGUGUUGUUGCUGUUGUUGUUGUUGUUGUUGUUGUUGUUGUUGUUGUUGUUGUUGUCGUCGUCGUCGUUGAGGAGGAGGAGGAGGGGAGAAAAGGAGGAGGAGGAAGAAGAGGAAGAGGAAGAUGAGGAAGAAGAGGAAGAAGAGGAAGAAGAGGAAGAGGAAGUUGAGGAAGAAGAGGAAGUUGAGGAAGAAGAGGAAGAAGAGGAAGAAGAGGAAGAGGAGGAAGAAGAGGAAGAAGAGGAAGAAGAGGAGGAAGAAGAGGAAGAAGAGGAAGAGGAGGAAGAAGAGGAAGAAGAGGAGGAAGAAGAGGAAGAAGAGGAAGAAGGAAGAGGAGGAAGAAGAGGAAGAAGAGGAAGAAGAGGAAGAAGAGGAAGAGGAGGAAGAGGAGGAGGAAGAGGAAGAGGAGGUGGAGGAGGGGGAUAACUAUAGGUGUGUGUAUAUAUAUAUAGCCUUGUGACUGAAUUUGGUUGGCAGAAACUGAGAGAAGCCCUUCGUAUAUCUGUUUGUGUGUGAGAGUGUGUGUGUGGUGGGUGUCAGGGUUUGUCCACUCACUAUCACUUGAUGACCGAUGUUGAUGUGUUUAUGUCCCCAUAUAUACAUACAUAACAUACAUACAUACAUCAAUUCGGUGCAAACAUAACAGGGAACAAAAGGUCCCAUGGGGAACAAAAGUCCAAGAGAAAGAGAACAUCUGUGGUCAAUUAAUGCGGAACUUUUGUAAGCAGUGGCGGACUGGCCAGGUUGCCAGUUUGUCCGAGGACAAGUGGGCCCCUGCGCCAUUGGAAUCCAUAUAUGGGGUCCCAUCAAAUGGCCCCAUCCCCUCAAGUUUGAGAAUUGUUUAUUCACUCCUGGAAGAAUGCAUUAAUUAUUAUUCAGCUUGUAGACAGUUGAAAAGAAUACUUUUAAUAAAAAAAACAAAAAAAAACAAUUAAAUGAUAGAUUUGUAGUUGCGGGUGGGUGGGCCGGUGGGCCCCCUUAGUCUCCUGACAACCAAUAUUUUUAGAACCAGUCCGCCACUUCUUGUAAGUAAAAAGUAAGUAAAUUUCCCUUCUCGAGUCAUACGGACUCAUAAGGACUGAUUUCUCUUAUUUCUUUACUACCCACAAGGGGCUAAACAUAGAGGGGACAAACAAGGACCUACAAACGGAUUAAGUCGAUUACAUCGACCCCCAGUGCGUAACUGGUACUUAAUUUAUCGACCCCGAAAGGAUGAAAGGCAAAGUCAACCUCGGCGGAAUUUGAACUCAGAAUGUAACGGCAGACGAAAUACGGCUACGCAUUUCGCCCGGCGUGCUAACGAUUCUGCCAGCUCGCCGCCCUAUAAGGACUGAUUUCCCUGUUUCCGUGGUGUAUAUAGUCCCACCUACCCCCUGGAUAGGACGCUAGUCCGUCGUAGGGUUACUCAUUUUUGCCAGCUGAGUGAACUGCAGCAACAUGAAAUUAAGUGUUUUGCGCAAAAAAACAACGUAUCGCCCGGUCCAGAGAUCGAAUCCACAAUCUUACGACCACGAGUUCAACACCCUAACCACUAAGCCACACGCCUCCACUACAGUUCUGGUACCCUGGCUAUAAAUUCUUAUUUAUACCUAUCAUCAUUGUUGCAUUUGGUUAUGUACUCACAAAUUUGCACGAAAAUAUAGGCGCAGGAGUGGCGGUGUGGUAAGUAGCUUGCUUACCAACCACAUGGUUCCGGGUUCAGUCCCACUGCGUGGCACUUUGAGCGAGUGUCUUCUACUAUAGCCUCGGGCCGACCAAAACCUUGUGAGUGGAUUUGGUAGACGGAAACUGAAAGAAGCCCGUCGUAUAUAUAUAUAUAUAUAUAUAUAUAUAUAUACAUAUAUAUAUAUAUAUGCGUGAAUGUUUGUAUGUCUGCGUUUGUCCCCUCAACAUCGCUUGACAACCGAUGCUGGUGUGUUUACGUCCCCGUAACUUAGCGGUUCGGCAAAAGGGACCGAUAGAAUAAGUACUGAGCUUUACAAAGAAUAAGUCCUGGGGUCGAUUUGCUCGACUAAAGGCGGUGCUCCGGCCCGGCAUGGCCGCAGUGAAAUAACUGAAACAAGUAAAAGAGUAAAAGAGUAAAAACCUAGAAAUACUCGGUUUCACGGGAAAAGAGCAAAAGAAACCGACGCGGAUUAUCCCAAACCAAUCUGGAAGAUGUGAAGAGAUGCAAAUACACUUGGGUGUUAUCCAUCGACUGUUCGACCAGCGCACCAGCUCAACCGCAUGUUCACAAACACCAGAAUCCCUUUUAACUUAAAAAAAAAAGUCUUAUCGCUUUGUGGGUGUGUGUCUUUGUGUCUGUGUUUGUCCACUCCCCAUUACCGCUCGACAACCUGUGUUGGUAUGUUUUACAUCCCCGUAACUUAGUGGUUCGGCAAAACACCGAUAGAAUAAGUACCAGAAUUUAAAAAAUAAGUAAUGGGGGUCGAUUCAUUCGACUAAAAAUUCAAGGUGGUGCCCCAGCAUGGCCACAGUCUAAUGACUGAAACAAGUAAAAGACAACGAUAUAUAAAUUGAUAGAUAGAUAGAUAGAUAGAUAGAUAGAUAGAUAGAUAGAUGGAUAGAUAGAUAGAUAGAUAGAUAGAUAGAUAGAUAGAUAGAUAGAUAGAUAGAUAGAUAGAGAGAUAGAUAGAUAGAUAGAUAGAUAGAUAGAUAGAUAGAUAGAUAGAUAGACAGACAGAUAGAUAGAUAGACAGACAGAUAGAUAGAUAGAUAGAUAGAUAGAUAGAUAGAUAGAUAGACAGACAGAUAGAUAGAUAGAUAGAUAGAUAGAUAGAUAGAUAGAUAGAUAGAUAGAUAGAUGGAUGGAUAGAUAGAUAGAUAGACAGACAGAUAGAUAGAUAGACAGACAGAUAGAUAGAUAGAUAGAUAGAUAGAUAGAUAGAUAGAUAGAAGGGGAGGGACGGAAAGAUGGCCGGCAGACAGACAGACAGACAUAGAGAUAGAUAUACAAUACGUAUUGUUAUGCAGCUUCUCACCCCCUCUACCUCCUCUGCUUCCUCCUUCUCCUCUUCUCCUCUCACCCUCACCGUGUUUCCCUCCUCCCCCUUCAUUACGUUGGCGCAAUAACAUCUGCCUCUUCCACACAUGACGUCUCUCGUUCUCGUUCCUCCUCCUCCUUCCCCUCCUUCCUUCUUUCCCUCCUUCCUUUCUUCCAUCUGGUCCAUUUCUCGUGUUGUUUAUUGUCGUUUGUUUGUUUUGUUUUGUUUUUAUGUGCGUUUUAUUUGUUUGUUUGUUUGUUUAAAAUGUCUGUUUGUAAUUUCAUGUUUGUGAUUGUUUGUUCUUUGCGGUUUCUUCAGACGUUCACAAUCUGGAAGAGAACAGACGACACAAAAGUCCAUUGUAUCUGUGUGUAUAUAUGUGUGUGUGAGAGAGAGUAUAUGUACGCGCGUGCGUGUGAGUAUGUGUGCGCGUGGCGUGUGUGUACAAGAAAUAGAGAUGAGAAAAGAAUAAAUAAAUUAUCUUAUGAACUUCAAUAGCUUACAUCUGUUUCUGCUGUAAGAUGCAGUGGGUUCGUGGUUGAGCGUCUGAGCAUCACCUCAUCGCUUCUUCAGAGCUUCAAACAUGGAGUACAGUUUAUUUGGGAAAACAAUUGUUUUUAUGCAUACACACAGGAAAAGCAAUUUCAAUUAAAAAAACAUACGCGUAUACGAGGACAGAAAUCCUGGAGCUCCUCCCAGAAUCAGAAUAAGGUUAAUUGAACUUUCUUUUUAAUUAAUCUUAUUAAUUAAUCUUAUUAUUAGGCGCAGGAGUAGCUGUGUGGUAAGUAGCUUGCUUACCAAUCACACGGUUCCGGGUUCAGUCCCACUGCGUGGCACCUUGAGCAAGUGUCUUCUACUAUAGCCUCUGGUCGACCAAAGCCUUGUGAGUGGAUUUGGUAGACGGAAACUGAAAGAAGCCUGUCGUAUAUAUGUAUAUAUAUAUAUAUAUUUAUAUAUAUAUAUAUAUAUAUAUAUAUAUAUAUAUAUAUAUAUGCGUGUAUGUUUGUGUGUCUGCUUUUGUCCCCCUAGCAUUGCUUGACAACCGAUGCUGGUGUGUUUAUGUCCCCGUUACUUAGCGGUUCGUCAAAAGAGACCGAUAGAAUAAGUACUGGGCUUACCAUAUGAAUAAGUCGCGGGGUCGAGUUGCUCGGUUAAAAAGGCGGUGCUCCAGCAUGGCCGCAGUCAAAUGACUGAAACAAGUAAAAGAGUAAAAGAGUAUACGAGGAAAGAAAUCCUGGAGCUCCUCCCAGAAUCAGAAUAAGGUUAAUUAAAUUUUCUUUUUAAUUAAUCUUAUUAAUCGCAUUAAUUUUUGUUUAAAUUAAUGUAAUUAUGACCAUGGGGGGGAGUCCUGGAUUCCUUCUCCCCGCAUACGUCUAUAUUUCUUCAUUGGUAAUGCUUUUCUGCGCUUCACGCUUUGGAGCUCUGAUGAAGCUAUGACGUGUUACUCAGGCACUCAACUAUGAGCCCACUGCAUCUCGUAGCAGAAACAGUUGUAAGCUAAUGAAGUUCAUAAGAUAACCAUUUGUUCAUUUCUCAUCUCAUUAUAUUCUUUUGGUGAUGUCAUUGAAUCGACCAACAUGAUUCUAGAGUGUAGUUGAUUAUUUUGAUGCCAACACUUGAUUUAUCGACCCCGGAGAAAUGAAAGUGAAACUGGAUCUGCGCGGAAUUUGAACCUACGACUGAAGAGACGCAACCGAAUACCAGAAAGUGUUUUACUCGAUAUUCCGCCGAUCCUGCCAUGACAUCCACAACUAGAACAAAAUCGAUAACAACUAGCACUGCAACAACAGUGAGUAUAAGAACAACAACUUGAAUAACGAGAAAGAAGAAAAGAAAGAAAGAAAGAAAGAAAGAAACAAGCGAAGGAAAGGAAAGAAAUGAAAGAAGGAAAGUGAGAAGGAAAAGCCAGAGAGAACGAAAAAAUGAAAGCAUGAAAAAAAAAGAAAGAAGGAGAGAGAGAGAGAAUGAGAGAAAGAAAGAAAAAAAGAAAGAAAGAAAAAAAGAAAAAAAGAGAGAAAGAAAGAAAGAAAGAAAGAAAGAAAGAAAGAAAGAAAGAAAGAAAGAAAGAAAGAAAGAAAGAAAGAAAGAGAAAAGAGAGAAAGAAAGAAAGAAAGAAAGAAAAAAGAGAGAAAGAAAGAAAGAAAGAAAGAAAGAAAGGAAAAAGAGAAAAAGAUAGAAAGAGGAAAAGAAAGAAAGAAAGAAAGAAAGAAAGAAAGAAAGAAAGAAAGAAAUGACUAGAAACGAAAGAAUCGUGUGCCACACGUUUCGCUCCUUCUUACGUUUCCUCACGUGACAGCGGGCAGUAUCACGUGUGUUUUAGUCGCAUGAUGCCAGCGUUAGGUGAGAGUGAAGGGAGGAGGAGGAGGAGGAGAAGGGGUCAAGUAGAUUUGACAAUAUUUGCGACAUGUCGCGUCGCGGAAGACAUAUUUGGUGAAAGGGAAUAGGGACAUGAGAUGAGGAUGCGGCGGAGGGAGUGAGGAGGGAAAGAGAGAGAGAGAGAGACAGAUAGGGAGAAACGGACAGGGAGAGGGAGACACUGAUAGGGAGAAACGGACAGGCGGACAGAGAGGGAGGGAGAGAGACGGGUAGGCACACAGAGAGGGAAAGAGAGAGGAAUGAGAGUGAGUGAGACAAUGAGAGAAAGAGAGAGAGAGAAAGAGGGAGAGCAAGAUAGACAAACAGGAAGAGGAGACAGAGAGAGUGAUAUAGAGAUAGAUAGCUAGAGAGAGAGAGAGAAUGAGAGGGAGAAAGAAAGAGAAAGAGAGAGAGAAAGAAAGAGAAAGAGAGAGAGUGAGAAAGAGAAAGAGAGAGAGUGAGAAAGAGAAAGAGAGAGAGAGAAAUGGCUAGACUUACAGACACAUCGACAGACAGAAAGAAAACGACAGAGAAGGAGAGAGAGAGAAAGAGAGGCAAAGACAGACACACACACACACACACACACACACACACAUACACACACACACUCAGAGCAAAAAGCGAAGCAGAAAGAAUAUUAGACAGAAACAAAGAGAAAGAGAGAGAGACAGAGACAGAGAGACAGAGAGAGUGGCGGUGGCGGUGUUGGGGUGGAAUGAAAGGCAGGGGAUAAAGUAAUUAACUUGAUACUCGAGAUUAAUUGACUUAAGAUCAGAGCAGCUUUCGUCUGUUUGUUGUCGUUGACGUGAAUGUUUGUUUGUUUUGUUUUUACGUUAGGCGGGGGUGGAAGGAUUACGCAAAGCGGUACUACCGAAGACACACGUCACCGAAACCGACGAUGAAUCAAACGACGUUUUUCCAAGCAGUUGAAGCGACGUCCAAACAAUCACGUGAUCUCUUCCUCUCAAAGCCGUAUCAUCAUGGCUGCCGCGUAUUUGACUUAAAUCGUUAUUAUCUCCCCCCCCCGCCCCAUAACUGCUGCUGCUGUUGUUGAUGCUGCUUCUACGCUGGCUGUCAUCAUAUUAUCAACACGCAUACACAUCAUUACACACACACACGCACACACACUGACAUAAACAAAGACACAGGCUCUCUAUCUCUCUCUCUCUCUCUCUCUCUCUCUUUACACUCUUCUACUCUCUCUUACUCGUUUCAGUCAUUUGACUGCGGCCAUGCUGGAGCACCGCCCUUUAGUCGAGCAAAUCGACCCCGGGACUUAUUCUUUUGUAAGCCCAGUACUUAUUCUAUCGGUUCUUUUGCCAAACCGCUACAUGACGGGGACCUAAACACACCAGCAUCGGUUGUCAAGCAAUGCUAGAGGGACAAACACAGACACACAAACAUAUACACACACACACACAUAUAUAUAUACGCAUACAUAUAUACGACAGGCUUCUUUCAGUUUCCGUCAACCAAAUCCACUCACAAGGCUUUGGUUGGCCUGAGGCUAUAGAAGAAGACACUUGCCCAAGAUGCCACACAGUGGGACUGAACCCGGAACCAUGUGGUUGGUUAGCAAGCUACUUACCACACAGACACUCCUGCGCCUAUCUCUAUCUCUUUCUAUAUCUAUCUAUUUCUCCCCCUCUCUUACUCUGUUUCGCUCUUUCUCCUCCUCCCCUCUCUAUCUCUCUCUGAGAGAGAGGGGAGGAGGAGAAAGAGCGAGUCAGAGAAAGAGAGGGGGAGAAAUAGAUAGAUAGAUAGAUACAGAAAGAGAUAGACAGAGGGAGAUAGGCGCAGGUGUGGCUGUGGUAAGAAGUUCAUUUCCCAACCACAUGGUUCCGGGUUCAGUCCCACUGCGUGGCACCUUGGGCAAGUGUCUUCUACCAUAUCCUUAGGCCGACCAAAGCCCUGUGUGCGUGUGUGUGUAUGUUCGUGUAUGUGUGUGUGUAUGUUAUUGUAUGUAUGUGUAGGUGUGUGUGUAUGUUCGUUUAAGUGUGUGUAAGUGAGUACAUAUGUGUGUGUAUGUUCGUGUAUGUGUGUAUGUGUGUAUGUGUGUGCGUGUGUGUGUGCGUACAUGUUCGUGUAUGUGUGUGUGUGUGUGUGUGUGUGUGUGUGUGUGUGUGCGUACAUGCAUAACAUGCAUUCCAGAAGUUUUGCGACAUAUUUUAGAAGAGACAUAAUUAUCCUAGACUAAUUAUAAUUAUCCUAAAUUAAUUGUUAUUUUAGUAUAUCAUUUCUACACAUCUAAAUAAUCUGACCUGCCACCUUUUAUUAUUCCAGGUUGAAGUGAACGGCUGUAACAGCACUUUGAACACAUCCUACAAAGGACACUGCUUGUGACAUCUGACUGGUUUUGCAGAAUGCUGUCAGGACAUGAAGACAGGAAAACUGCUGUGCAAAUGAAUUUUUGCGUUAAAAUAGGUAAAAACGUUGCAGGAACUUAUGAUGUGCUCCAGACUGGUCUCGGAUUAACUUGUUUUUCGCUGAUACAAGAAGUUCAACAACGGCAGGAAGGAGAUGAGGAAUGAAAAGAAGCCUGGGAGGAAGAGGGAUGUUAGUUAGUUAGUUAGUUAGUUAAUUAAUUUGGCUCAAAAGCAAAUAGCAAGGCCAUGUAGGGGUACAUGGAGUUAAGUAUAGGGUGGUGUUCAUGUAAAGAGUUCAGGCCACUUGAGGUCAAAGGAGGCUUUGAACAAAGCGGUCGUCGGUAUCUUCACCAUCUCGUCUGGCAGCUUAUUCCACGGAUCCGCAACCCGGACGGAAAAAGCCCCUAUCCUUCGAUUGAGAUGAAAUCGUCGCAGGUAGAGCUUUUCGGAAUGACCCCGCAGCCGACGCUCGGGAGCAGGAGUGAAGAACAGCUCUUUCGAGAGGUUACACUUUCCGCUUAUGAUGUUGUGGGCGAGAAUGAGAUCACCACGGCGGCGGCGUUUUUCUAGAGAAUAAAGGUCGAGCGUCCUCAGCCUUUCUUCAUAGGACAAAUUUUUGAGACCAUGAACCAUGCGGGUAGCCAGCUUCUGGACUCUUUCGAGAUGCUGUAUGUCUUUGAGAAUAGCAGAACAUGAGAUCUGGUUGAGGGAGUUUCCUGCUUUCUGGGUGGAGACCUUUGUGUGUCUAUAAAGACAACAAGCUUACGGUUUGUGUGGCAACGAUGCGCAGAAUUAUUCACGAAGGUUUGAACAUGCGCAAAGUUUAUUACGAAGGCGCUCAGUUACGAACAAAAAGAAAGACGUGUCGGUGACAGCAGGGAGAGGGUUUAGCUCUCAAGCAUUUGUCCUAUGAAGAAAGGCUGAAGACACUCGACAUUUGUUCUCUGGAAAAACGACGACGCCGUGGUGAUCUGAUUCUUGCUCACAACAUCAUAAGCGGAAAGUGUAACCUCUCGAAAGAGUUGUUCUUCACUCCUGCUCCAGAGCGUCGGCUGCGGGGUCACUCCGAAAAGCUCUAUCUGCGACGAUUUCAUCUCAAUCGAAGGAGAGGGGCUUUCUCCGUCCGGAUUGCGGAUCCGUGGAACAAGCUGCCGGACGAGAUAGUGAAGAUGCCGACGACCGCUCGGUUCAAAGUCUCUCUUGACCAGAAAUGGCCUGAACUCUUUGCAUGAAUACUCUCCCUGUACAUAACUCCAUGUCCCCCCUACAUGGCCUUGCUUUUUGCUUUUUGAGCCAAAAAAUUAACUUAACUUAACUUAACUAACCUCCAGUCCAACUGUGAUCCAGUCUCUGGUGACCUGUUACGAAAGUUGGAUUCACUGUUAUUAUCCAGAGAACUAGAGACAGAGUGCCCAAUGGAAGCAUCUUGGCCUCCUCAGACCCGGAAGUUCAAGAUGAUCCCUUUUUUCGACAGCAAGGACAUCAUCUACAUCCACUAGGUUCUCUCUGGCCUCGCAAACAACAAAGAGUACUUUGUAAAGAUUUUGAGGGAGUUCGCGGAGAGAUUUCGUUAUAAAAUGCCAGAGCUCUUCCGCUCGGAUCGGUAAAUCUGCACCAGGACAAAGCAACAAUCCGCAGUUCAAUCCUGGUAACCAACUACUUGACAGACGUGGGCAUCAAAACUGCCCCUUGCCCACACCACCUCCUCUCCUACAAUCCAGCCCUUGCUAGAAAGGGACUUAACUGAUAUUUGGUUUGUAAACAAUGGUGAAUUUCUCCGCCGUGAAAAUUGUUAGAAGUUAUGGCUCAAAAAUUUCUACCCCUAUUCGCGGGUGCCUCGGGGAAAAAUAAUUUGACGAAAAUACAGCUAGGAUCGUGACGAAUGUCCUCCUAAAAUUUGAGCGACAUGCGUGCUAAUUUGUGGAUGUGCAUAAACUACAUUCACGUACACACACACACACACACCUACAAUCCAGCCCUUGCUUCUUGUGACCUAUGGUUGUUCCCCAAGCUGAAAGAAAAUCUCAGAGGCAGUUGUCUUCAAGGCAUAGAGAAGAUGAAGGAAUCUGCGACCAGGGUCUUGAACACCUUCAGUUUGGAGGACUUCCAUACGGGGCCUUCCCAAAGUAUCCGAAACGCCCCAGCAAGUCUACUGAAGUCAAAGAACCCUAGUUUUGAAAGAGAUUGGGGUUUUGUAUUUUUUACACUUCCUUCGAAUUAAUAGAUGACUUUCCUAAAAAAAAGUCUGAAAACUUCUAGAAUGCAUCUUGUGUGUGUGUGUGUGUGUGUGUGUGUGUGUGUGUGUGUGUGUGUGUGUGUGUGUGUGUGUGUGUGUGUGUGUGUAUUCUUUUAUUCUUUUAUUCUUUUACUUGUUUCAGUCAUUUGACUGUGGCCAUGCCGGAGCUCCGCCUUUUAGUCGAAGAAAUCGACCCCAGGACAUAUUCUUUGUGAGCCUAUAUUAUCGGUCUCUGUUGCCGAAUCGCUAAAUUUCGGAGACGUAAACACACCAACAGCGGUUGUCACAUAUAUAUGUACACACACACACAUACAAGAUGCAUUCUAGAAGUUAUCAGACUUUUUUUUAGGAGUCAUCUAUUAAUUCGAAGGAAGUGUAAAAAUACAAAACCCUAAUCUCUUUCAAAACUAGGGUCCUUUGACUUCAGUAUACUUACUGGGGCGUUUCGGAUACAUUGGGAAGUCCACCAAACUGAAUACCUGCCGCUAGGCUCCAGCAUGCAGCCCCAGCAAGUUGUCACGUGACGCUGUCUCACCUUAACUGACCAGUGAAGGCGCGUAGUCUUAGCCCGCGCAUUCUCUAAACGACCGUCACCUGUCAGUCAGGGAAGCUUAUUCAGUGUCAGCUUGUCUCACCUUGUCUGGGACUAAUGUACCAACGCCCACAAAAAAGCUUUUGAAGCUGUGGACAGAACAUAAGAGACAUUAGAAAUUGCAUUUCCAUAAAAGGAAAUGCCAGUAUUAUUGUCAGGAGACUUCUGAGAAACACCACCAGUUGUUACAAGAGGAACAGAAAUAGAAAAGCCCAAUGUUUCAAUAAAGUCUUCUGUAUUAUGGCAUCAUGUGAAAAUACUUGAACUUUCAACAAAUAUGAGAUUGAGGCUUUUAAGAGAUCAAUCAACUGAAUUAUUUGCAGAGCAGCUUUUGAAACUCAGUGAAAGGAGGUGUUCCAAUUGACGAAGAACAGUCUCUUACACUCAAUCCAAUUCAGCUGAUUCCGUCGAUGGUUUGGUGGCUGAAAUUUUUCCAAAUCUUCCUCGGAAUUACAACAAUACAGAUUGGAUCUGUGAGCGAGCUACCCUGGCUCCAAAACAUGUUGUUGUAAAUAGCAUUAAUGAUAUGCUAUUGAAUAAACUUCUGGGAGAAGUAUUCACUUAUAACUCAAUUGACAGUGUUGUUGUUGAUCAGGAUAGGGUUAACUACCACACUCGAAUACUGUUUUCAUUCUGAAAAUUCCACUAAACCCAACAGACUGCUCCUACCCUAUGCAGAGACUUCAGUUCCCUCUUAAACUCACUUUUGCCAUGACAGUUAACAAAGUACAAGGUCAGUUGCUGAAAGUUGUCAGAUUGGAACUUCGAAUGUCGUGCUUUUCACAUGGACACUUCUACGCCAGUUGUUCCAGAGUUGACCAUUCAGACAACUUAUUCAUCUAUGGUCCUGAAGGAAAAACCAAAAAUGUCGUCUACAAAGCAGCCCUACAGUAGUUAUUCCUCUCCUGAAAUCUUCACUUCUAUGCCGAGCUUUAGCUGUUAUCUAUCAGACUUCCUGCAAGCAUUUCAUUGAUAUUCUGCUUCAUUUCCCAGUACAUUUACCUUCAAUGCCCCUUCUUCACGCACGCUGUCCGCUCAUAAGCAUGCUCUGGCAUUUAUUUUCGUAAAUGCCAUUAUUCUUUACUCUUUUACUUCUUUCAGUCAUUUGACUGCGGCCAUGCUGGAGCACCGCCUUUAGUCGAGCAAAUCGACCCCGGGACUUAUUCUUUUGUAAGCCCAGUACUUAUUCUAUCGGUCUCUUUUGCCGAACCGCUAAGUUACGGGGACGUAAACACACCAGCAUCGGUUGCCAAGCAAUGCUAGGGGGACAAACACAGACACACAAACACACACACACACAUAUAUAUAUAUACAUAUAUACGACAGGCUUCUUUCAGUUUCCGUCUACCAAAUCCACUCACAAGGCAUUGGUCGGCCCGGGGCUAUAGCAGGAGGCACUUGCCCAAGGUGCCACGCAGUGGUACUGAACCCGGAACCAUGUGGUUGGUAAGCAAGCUACUUACCACACAGCCACUCCUGCGCCUAUUCUAUUUGUGUGUUUGUUAUAAAUGUUUGCUUUUCUUUAUCAUACAUGCCUUUCAUUGAAAAAAAAUGCUUCAAUGUGGUUGUCUCCGGCAUUAUGAGAAAAAUAUUAGGUUGUCAAGAAAGUUCUUGCGGUUUUUAACCUUUAAAUUCAGAUGAUACACAUAUCUUGGCUCAGACAGAACUUUAUAAAUCGAAAUAAAUACCAUCAGAAUCAACACACUUUUGCCAACGCGAAACAAGUUUAUUUAUGCCAGUAGCGUAAAAAUCCUGCGUUUUGGUGUCGAUGAAGUCGUUGAAGGCGUGUUUGGCAUCGUCUUGGUUUUUCAAGCAUUUCUCAUGCAGGAAGUUGUCGAGAUGCUUGAAAAAGUGGUCGUCGGUAGGCGAGAGGUCUGGUGAGUAUAAUGGAUGAGGCAGAGUUUCGUAACCCAAUUCGUUCAACUUCUGCAGGGUCAGUUGUGUGACUUGCGGCCGAACAUUGUUGUGGGGAAGAAUUUGUCCUUUUCUAUUGACCAAUGCUGGCUGUUGUCGGAGUUUCUUAUGCAUUUCAUCCAUUUACUGACAGUACUUCUCCGCCAUAAUGGUUUCCCCUGGAUCCAAAAAGCUGUGAUGGAUGAGACCGGCCGCAGGCCACCAAACAGUCACCAUGACCUUCUUUUGGUGCAACUUUGGCUUCGGGAAAUGCCGUAGAGCUUCGUCGGCGUCCAACCACUGAGCUGAGCAUCGCCGGUUGUCGUAAAGAAUCCACUUUUCAUCGCAGGUCACAAUCCGGUCGAGAAACAGGUCGUUCUAGUUGCAUAAUAGAAGGGAUGACAACACUCCGAAACGGCUUUUUUUUUUUUUGUUGUCGUUCAAUUUGUGUGACACCCAUUUCUAAAGUAUUUUUGUUUUUCCAAUCUCCUUCAAGUGGUUGGAAAUUGUCGUAUACGUUACGUCUAAUUCAGAAGCAAGCUCUCGAACAGUUGUGCGUGGAUUGUCUUCCACUAAGGCUCUUAGUUGAUCGUUGUCAAUAUCCGAUAGCCGACCACUACGCUUACCAUCUUCAAGACUCUCGACACCGCUACGAAAUUUCUUAAACCAUCAUUGUGCUGUACGUUUAUUAGUGGCUCUUGGGCGAAAUGCAUCGUUGAUAUCGUGAGCUAUUCCAGCAGCUUUUUGGCCUAGCUUGAACUGGAAUAAGAAAAUAGUGCGAAUUUGCUUUUUGUCCAUGUUGUAUUCAACAUUCCUGAAAAAAUGGCCUAAUUAUUCAAAAAGAAAAAGUGUAAAACGAUUAGAUAGAGCGAAAAACGGGCUUUAAAAUGAUAUAUAUAUAUAAUCAAAGUAAUUUAACGAAAAUUGAUUUGAAAAUACAUCAUUUAAAACCAAAAUUUAAAAUUCCGCAAGAACUUUCUUGACAACCUAAUAACUACAAGAUGCAAAACGCUUCAAGUAAGAUAUAGGAUCCCUAAAUACCUACUGCAGUUGCGAUCUCAUUUCAUAGACUUUCAAAUUUGUGUGACACCCAUUUCUAAAGUAUUUUUGUCAUUCCAAUCUCUUUCGUCUAAUUCAGAAGCAAGCUCUCGAACAGUUGUGCGUGGAUUGUCUUCUUAGUUGAUCGUUGUCAACAUCCGAUAGCCGACCACUACGCUUAUCAUCUUCAAGACUCUCCAUUUGCUAACAGUACUUCUCCGCCGUAAUGGUUCCCCCUGGACCCAAAAAGCUGUGAUAGAUGAGACCGUCCGCAGACCAACAAACAGUCACCAAAUUUGUGCUCAAAACAAUUUAUUCAUUACCUGAGUUGCUUAAUACCAUAUCAUAAACUGCUAACGAAAAUGCUUAUUAUACAUUUUACGCUUAUCAACUUGAAACGACUUCUAACUGCGGGCUAAUUCAACUUGAACCGAGUGAGAUAAUUCGCUGCCGUAUUUUUAUUCACUACUGCUUUAUUUUGGUUUGGCGCGUUUGGUUGAAGAGAUUUGGAUUGAAUUCCCGUUGCAUAACGAUAACACUCGAUGUGUACGUGUGUCCUUUCGGAUAUGGUUUGUAUCUGAGUUUCAUACAUUAUACAACUCCAGAAGUUUCUACUGAAGAUCCACAAAUUAAUGGCGAAACAUCGAAGUAUAGAAAUAACUGGUCAUUUCAUUUUUUCAUAUUGUCUUUGCCCCCACCCCCACAUUCAACGUGCUAUAAAUAAGAAUGUCUUCUUCGUGGUUUGGGGAUUUGACAUCUCUUUUCAGCAUGUAAAGAGACCACGUAGUGGUUCUCCACUUAGUGUGUA
rnacentral:lncRNA from 1 species